AGCCAGCUCAUCCAUUUAUCUUUGUAUAUAUGGACUGUAAAACCUCCUGUACAGACAGAUUUUGGGAGAGAACUAAAUUUUCUUUUCCAUUCACAUGGCCCUAUCUCUACUCUAUUCUUUUUUACUCUCAUUUGUUCUUCAUUAAAUCACCAUACGUACAUGGUAUCAGAGUAAUCGAUCUGGUGAUAUCUUGUACUGUUGAUUCAUUUACUGGACAUGGCAGAGGAGCAAGGAUUUGGUUCACAGUCUUCUCAACCUCAAGCUGUUAGUGUAGUUGAUAAUAGUGAUCCAUUAUCUUUACACAGGUCAGAUCAUCCAGGUAUGAAUCUGGUUACUAUUCCUUUAACAGGAAACAAUUAUUUGUCAUGGGGUAGGUCAAUGAAAAUAGCUCUUGGAGCUACAGUUAAACUGGGUUUCAUAAAUGGAAAAUGUGCAAUGCCUGAUGAAACUUCUCCAGAAUAUGAGAAGUGGAUUCAAGUAGAUUGUACGGUCUCUUCUUGGAUUUUAAAUUCUAUUUCUAAGGAUAUUGUGGAGUCUUUUCUAUACACCGUUAGUUCUAAGCAAGUAUGGGAAGAAAUUGAGGCUUAAUUUGGAGAGUGCAAUGGCCCUAUUAUUUAUCAUUUGCAGAAGAGAGAUAAAUUCUAUUACACAGGGAAAUCAAAUAAUGGUGCAAUAUUAUACAAAGCUUAAGAGACUUUAGGAUGAAUUAAGUUGUUUAGUUCCUUUUCCUGAAUGUACAUGUGGGGCUGGGAAGUCUGUAGCAGACAUGAAUUCUUUUAAUAGAUUGAUGCAGUUUUUAAUGGGACUUAAUGAUUCUUAUGAUCACAUUAGGAACCAGAUACUGAUGAUGGAAACCUUUCCUAGUGUAAGUAAAGCUUAUUCAAUGGUUUUGAAAGUGGAAAAAUAAUGUGAAGUUCAUAUUUCUUAUAAAGAUAUAACUGAUAAUGCAGCAAUGCUAGCUAGAACUUCACAGUCCAAAAAGGAUAGGUAUACUUCAAAAGAGAGUCAAAUAGGACUGACAAACACUACACUCACUGUGGGAAGGAUGGUCAUGUGAGGGACAAUUGUUCUAAAUUAUCUGGUAACUGCACACACUGUGGAAGGGAAGGACAUGUCAGGGAGCAGUGUUUCAAAUUGAAUGGCUAUCCUGAAUGGUACAAGGAGUACAAAGAAAAGAAAGGGAAACAUAUGGUUAACUGUGCAAAUGCAUCACUCCCCCUGCAAACGGAUGCAGACAUACAGAAGAAAGUGGAUUGGAAUAACGCUUCUUUAGCAGAUAUAGUUCAGAAGGAAAUCGACAAGUUCAUGAAGGACAAACAGGUGGAGGCCAACCAAGUUAACUUUGCUCAUUUCAACGAUUUUGCAGAUUCAAUACUUCAUUAUGCUUAUAGUACAUUGUCUCUUAUUGAUAAAGAUUCUUGGAUAGUGGAUACCGGUGCUUCUAGCCAUAUAUGCUCAAACAUUAACUGACUUUCGCAUUUUACCAAAGUUCAUUCACCUACACCUGUAUACUUGCUAGAUGGAAUUGUGAAAAUGGUUCAAAAUACGGGUACUGAAUCACUCACCCUUAAACUACAGCUACAAAAUACCUUGCACAUACCUGAAUUCGAAUACAACUUACUUUCUGUUAACAAGUUAGCUGCCUUCUUCCAUUUUACAUUCGGAAACACCAUUUGCUAAAUUAUAUGGUAAGCCCCCAGAUUAUCAACGUCUUAAAGUGUUUGGAUCCUUCUGUUUUGCCACAAAUACUUUUUCCAUCAAAGAUAAAUUUGCCCCUAGAGCCUUCAAGUGUAUUUUCCUUGGUUACAAUGUUGGUAAGAAAGCUUACGAAGUGUAUGAUAUUGAGAAUCAUAAAAUUCAUUUUUCUAGAGAUGUUAUCUUUCAUGAAAGUAAAUGUCCCUUUUCAGCUCAUACAUCAUCUAAUUAUGAAUUAUCUUUGCCUCUUCCCAUUUCGCUUUUAAAUGAUCCUAUUUCUAAUCAACCAUCCAUUUCAGUCUCUUCCCCAUUUUAUUCAUCAGAUAACCAUCAAUCUCCUGCUCCUUCUAAUCACUCCCAAGUAGUUCAACCAGUUAGACAAAGUUUGAGAUUUAAAAAGAAACCUGCAUGGCUUCAAGAUUUUGUUUCUAAUGUUCAUGAUCAGUGCACACAACAGACUUGUCCUAAUACUUUCCCUUCAUUUAAUCUUAUUACACAUUCUGCAGGAACUGUUUAUACACCACCAACUUAUUCAUAUCUUCACACUAACCGUUUAUCUAACAAUUACUUAGCCUUCUUAGCAAAUGUAUCUUCUGUUAAAGAACCUUAUUCAUAUGAGCAGACAUGUACUCAAGCAACAUGGAUGUUAGCUAUGCAAAAAGAGAUCGAUGCAUUGGAAGCUAACCAUACCUGGCAAAUUACUGAUCUUUCUGCAGGGAAGAAACCAAUUGGUUCCAAGUGGGUAUAUAAGUUAAAACUAAAUCUUGAUGGCAGUGUGGACAGGCACAAGGCUCAUUUGGUAGCCAAAGGUUACAAUCAAGUUGAUUGAUUACGCAGUUAUAGCAAAGCUAAACCAGGUCGAGUGUGUAAAUUACUUAAGUCUUUAUAUGGACUUCAGCAAGCUUCAAAGCAAUGGAACAUUGAGUUUACUAAGCAGCUGCAGAUUUUUGGAUUUCAACAGUCAAGUGCAGAUCAUUGUCUCUUUGUCAAGUCAUCCUCUACUUCAUUUCUAGCUUUGUUAGUAUAUGUAGAUGAUGUACUUAUAACUGGUACUAAUGCAGCAGAUAUUGAAGCAGUUAAGAAAUUUCUUCAUGCCAAGUUUACUAUUAAAGACCUUGGAGCAGCAAAGUUUUUCCUUGGCAUUGAAGUUGCAAGGUCUCCAUCAGGUAUUUUUCUUAAUCAAUGGAAGUAUGUACUGGAUAUCUUGGAAGAUACAGGACUGUUGGGUUCAAAACCAGUUUCUACUCCACUUCUAAGGAAUUUCAAAUUCAUAGCAACAAGCACUCCUCAUUAUGAUCCUGAACGUUAUAGAAGACUAGUUGGAAGAUUGUUAUAUCUAAAUCUCACCAGGCCAGGCAUCAGUUAUACUGUUCAACAAUUAAGCCAAUUUGUUAACUCUCCUUAUCACCAGCAUUGGGAUGCAGCAACUCAUCUUCUUUGAUACCUUAAGAGUUGUCCUUCUAAGGGCUUAUAUUUUUCUGCUGGUGGUGACCUUCAGUUAACAUCAUAUUGUGAUGCUGACUGGGCCUCAUGUAGGGAUAGUAGACGAUCUCUCACAUUCUAUUGUAUCUUUCUUGGUUCUUGUCGCAUUUAUUGGAAAACCAAGAAACAGUCCACCGUGUCACAUUCUUCAGCUGAGGCUGAAUAUCGAAGCAUGGUAUCUACAGUUUGUGAACUUAUUUGGCUCUCUUAUUUGCUACGUGAUUUGCAGAUUCCAAUAUCCACACCUGAUUCUUUAUUCUGUGAUAACAAGGCAGCAAUUCAUAUCACAAAAAAUCCUAUUUUCCAUGAACAAACGAAGCACUUGGACAUAGACUGCUAUUUAGUACGUGAUCAUUUCAAACAAGGCUUCAUUCUGCCACAACAUGUUCCUUCUACAUCACAAUUGGCAAAACUUUUCACAGUCUCUUUCUGCCCCUGGCAUUCACACACCAUUUAUCCAAGUUGGGCUUGUGUGAUGUUCACCAAACUCCAACUUGAGGGGGGAAUGUAGCGUUAUUCUGGUUGUUAAUGAGUUGAUGACGUGUACAUAAUAAUUUUUUAUUUUGUUUCUUAUGUUUUCUAUUCAUUAAGUGUGUAGUCUUCUGUUAGCAGGUUGUUAUCUUUGUAUAUAUGGACUGUAAAACCUCCUGUACAGACAAAUUUUGGGAGAUAAAUAAAUUUUCUUUUCCA